UACGUAGGGGGCUAGCGUUGUCCGGAAUCAUUGGGCGUAAAGCGCGUGUAGGCGGUUCGGUAAGUCCGCUGUGAAAGUCGGGGGCUCAACCCUCGGAUGCCGGUGGAUACUGUCGAGCUAGAGUACGGAAGAGGCGAGUGGAAUUCCUGGUGUAGCGGUGAAAUGCGCAGAUAUCAGGAGGAACACCAAUUGCGAAGGCAGCUCGCUGGGACGUUACUGACGCUGAGACGCGAAAGCGUGGGGAGCAAACAGG
rnacentral:rRNA from 1 species